GCCUCUGUCUUUAUUGUCGCUAUUGACUUGAAUUUCAGUUCAAAAGAUACUGGUUUUGUUAUAUUGCAUCUCUCUCUCUCUCUCUCUCUCUCUCUCUCCCUCUCUCUCUCUCUCUCUCUCUUUAUUAAUAUGGAGUUUCGCGGAGACUAAAUAUGUCUUGCUAACGAUGGUCCUCGUUGUCGGUCGGGCUUUGCAUUUCUAAAGAGUGAGGAAGGGUAUGGCUCAAACUGUUAGUGAUGAGUCGAAGACUGGAGAGCGAUCGACAAUAGUGGCGAAGGAAAUCUAGAGGAGCUCCUGAGCUAUAUUGGUUUCUUCUGCUAUCUCAUGUCAUAAUUUAGUGAUCACUAGAUAGUUAGGUCCACCACCAGUUGUUCCUCUUUUCUUCUAAGUUUUGACUUCCACUCGCCUCUGGGGUAGCUUGGACAGACAAGUGUGGGACUUUCUCUCAGCUUACCGUCAAUUUUCAAGGACCAACCUUGGACAGACGUGGGUCUUGUUCAAUGGACGAUGAGAUAUUAUUUGCUUUGCCUCACCUGUGCGAUUGGCUGAGUGGUUCCAAGUGGACUUUCAAUUAUGGAUUGAGCAAAAGGACCCGGGCUCGGUUCCCGCACUGUCUAUAUGCAAACGUUCUUACUUUUAGACACCCACUCGGUUUUUGGCUCGGAUUUUACUUCGCUCAUGAAGUUAUGAGGCUAGGUUUCUCGAUCCCCCGAUAUUUAUCUACCUAAAGCAGGCUUUCUUCCAUCAUAGAGAAAGACAGAUUAUCUGCGUUCGGCUUGGAUUUGAGGAAAAUCGUCGAUGAGAUAUUUUGAUUAUGGUGGGCAAAUACUACCACGUGGCAUAUUGAAGGGUAAAUCGGGGACACAAGAAGGAGAGCGAUAGUGAUUUAGAAAUGGUUCAACCAUCAAGACUUGGCUAGAAGUUCGCUAAUAAUCCUUUCUUCAGGGGAGGUAUAUAUAGCUCUCAAUUCAGCUUCCCAGAUGGCUCCUUGAUUAUUGAAGGUAGGAGAAACCAUAGGAAGGAAAGAAGUCGCACGCUGAUGCUGAUUCGUGUACCCAUCCUCGUUGAUCAGAGAAUCCAAGAAUGAAGAGAACACGUCCUCAUUGCUGUUGUCCAUGUAGAAUUGAGCAUGGGUCUGCGCUUCACUACGGUGUGACGAAGAUCCGGCCCUUAUCGCUGACCCAUCAAGAUUCUGCCAAUUCUGAUUGACACCACCCUGAUGAUCAACCCUAGGGUUUUGAUGCAGAUCUUGCAGGUUAGUCAUCACGUCCUUAGGGUCCUGGGUGUUAUCAGUUAUGGCGACUUGAUAGUGAUCGCCAUUAGUCACUUGAAACUCAGAUGCAGUAGGGUUUUGUGGGGAGAUUGAAGCGGGUGCAAAAUCAUGGUCAUCUGAUGUUGGCAUGUUGGGGAUAAGUUCUAAUGGCUUGUGGGUCCUCGGGUCUA